AGUGAACGCUGGCGGCGUGCUUAACACAUGCAAGUCGAACGAGAACGGGUUAUAGCUUGCUAUAAUUGUCAGCUAAGUGGCACACGGGUGAGUAAUGUAUAGGUAAUAUGCCUCUUACUAAGGGAUAACAAAUGGAAACGUUUGCUAAUACCUUAUACUCCUUAUUAACAGAAGUUAAUAAGGGAAAGAUUUAUUGGUAAGAGAUUAGCCUGUAUUGUAUCAGUUAGUUGGUGGGGUAAUGGCUUACCAAGACUAUGACACAUAACUGGUUUGAGAGGAUCAUCAGUCACACUGGAACUGAGACACGGUCCAGACUCCUACGGGAGGCAGCAGUGGGGAAUAUUGCACAAUGGACGAAAGUCUGAUGCAGCAACGCCGCGUGGAGGAUGACACAUUUCGGUGCGUAAACUCCUUUUAUAUGAGAAGAUAAUGACGGUAUUAUAUGAAUAAGCACCGGCUAACUCCGUGCCAGCAGCCGCCGUAA
rnacentral:rRNA from 1 species